rnacentral:rRNA from 1 species
UACAGAGGUCUCAAGCGUUGUUCGGAAUCACUGGGCGUAAAGGGUGCGUAGGCUGUGUUGUAAGUCAGAGGUGAAAUCCCGGGGCUCAACCUCGGAACUGCCUCCGAUACUGCAAGACUUGAGGACUGGAGAGGAGAUUGGAAUUCAUGGUGGAGCAGUGAAAUGCGUAGAUAUCAUGAGGAACGCUAGUGGCGUAGGCGAAUCUCUGGACAGUUCCUGACGCUGAGGCACGAAGGCUAGGGGAGCAAACGGG